UACGUAGGGGGCAAGCGUUGUCCGGAUUUAUUGGGCGUAAAGAGCGUGUAGGCGGCCAUGCAGGUCCGUUGUGAAAGCUCGAGGCUCAACCUCGAGACGCCGAUGGAAACCGCAUGGCUAGAGUCCGGAAGAGGAGAGUGGAAUUCCUGGUGCAGCGGUGAAAUGCGCAGAUAUCAGGAAGAACACCCGUGGCUAAGGCGGCUCUCUAGUACGGUACUGACGCUGAGACGCGAAAGCGUGGGGAGCAAACCGG
rnacentral:rRNA from 1 species